rnacentral:rRNA from 1 species
UGGUGGAGCGAUUUGUCUGGUUAAUUCCGAUAACGAACGAGACUCUAGCCUGCUAAAUAGACGGGCGAUCCCUUGUGGGUCGAUCCGAUUUGCUUCUUAGAGGGACAAGUGGCGUUCCUAGCCACACGAAAUUGAGCAAUAACA